rnacentral:sRNA from 1 species
CUAACAGCUCAGGAGACUGAAGCCCUUACAUUUUCUCUCACAUUGCCCCUCACCGUAACUGAGCCCUGACCUAGCAGGGCCACUCUAGGGGCAAGAGGGUCAUUCAUUCUCCGUGCUCACUCAUGGCCUCU